AGAACGAACGCUGGCGGCAUGCCUAACACAUGCAAGUCGAACGCUCUUGAGGCUUCGGUUUCAAGGGAGUGGCGCACGGGUGAGUAGCGCGUGGGAACCUGCCCUGUUGUGGGGGAUAACCGAGGGAAACUUCGGCUAAUACCGCAUGCGCCCGGGGAAACCCGGGGAAAGAUUUAUCGCCGAAAGAUCGGCCCGCGUCUGAUUAGCUAGUUGGUGAGGUAAUGGCUCACCAAGGCGACGAUCAGUAGCUGGUCUGAGAGGAUGAUCAGCCACAUUGGGACUGAGACACGGCCCAAACUCCUACGGGAGGCAGCAGUGGGGAAUAUUGGACAAUGGGCGCAAGCCUGAUCCAGCCAUGCCGCGUGAGUGAUGAAGGCCCUAGGGUUGUAAAGCUCUUUUGUGCGGGAAGAUAAUGACGGUACCGCAAGAAUAAGCCCCGGCUAACUUCGCGCCAGCAGCCGCGGUAA
rnacentral:rRNA from 1 species